rnacentral:miRNA from 5 species
AAGGCAGGGCCCCCGCUCCCC